GGGGAUGUAGCUCAGUGGUAGAGCACUUGCCUAGCAAUCAUGAGACAUGAGUUCAGUUCCCAGUACUGCCA
rnacentral:tRNA from 1 species